AUCAUUACCUAGAGUUGCGGGCUUUGCCUGCCAUCUCUUACCCAUGUCUUUUGAGUACCUUACGUUUCCUCGGCGGGUCCGCCCGCCGACUGGACAAUUUAAACCACUUGCAGUUGCAAUCAGCGUCUGAAAAAACUUAAUAGUUACAACUUUCAACAACGGAUCUCUUGGUUCUGGCAUCGAUGAAGAACGCAGCGAAAUGCGAUAAGUAGUGUGAAUUGCAGAAUUCAGUGAAUCAUCGAAUCUUUGAACGCACAUUGCGCCCCUUGGUAUUCCAUGGGGCAUGCCUGUUCGAGCGUCAUUUGUACCUUCAAGCCUUGCUUGGUGUUGGGUGUUUGUCUCGCCUCUGCGCGUAGACUCGCCUCAAAACAAUUGGCAGCCGGCGUAUUGAUUUCGGAGCGCAGUACAUCUCGCGCUUUGCACUCAGAACGACGACGUCCAAAAGUACAUUUUUACACUCUUGACCUCGGAUCAGGUAGGGAUACC
rnacentral:rRNA from 1 species